AAUCACUAGCUAAACUACCAUA
rnacentral:piRNA from 1 species